CGCCUGUUUAACAAAAACAUUUCUUUUAGUUUUUAAUGAAGGUAUCUUCUGCCCAAUGAUAGUAUAAUUAAAUGGCUGCAGUAUUUUGACUGUACAAAGGUAGCAUAAUAAUUAGUUUCUUAAUUAGAAGCUUGUAUGAACGGAUGUAUGAGAAUUAUAUUUUAUUAGUUUUAUAGUUAUAAUUUUAAUUUUUAGUGAAAAUGCUUAAUUGAUUCUUUGGGACGAUAAGACCCUAUAGAACUUUAUAUUAAAUUUUAUUUAAAUUUGUGUGUAAUUUAUAUUUAAGUAUAUUAAAUAUUUGGCUGGGGUGGUGGUUAAAUUUUAACUUUAAUUUGUUAAUUCAUUUAUUUAUGUUUAUCUUGAUCUUAAAUAUGGAUAAAAAGAUUUAGUUACCUUAGGGAUAACAGCGUAAUUUUGGUGGGGAGUUCAUAUCUAUACUAUUUUUUGCGACCUCGAUGUUGAAUUAAGGUAAUUUUUAGAAGCAGUUUUCUUAAAAAUAAGUCUGUUCGACUUUUAAAUCCUUACCUUGAUCUGAGUUCAGACCGG
rnacentral:rRNA from 1 species